GACGAACGCUGGCGGCGUGCUUAACACAUGCAAGUCGAGCGGUAAGGCCCUUUCGGGGGUACACGAGCGGCGAACGGGUGAGUAACACGUGGGUGACCUGCCCCCAGCUCUGGGAGUAAGCCUGGGAAACGUGGGUCUAAUACUGGAUAUGACUCCACGGUGCAUGUCGGUGGGGUGGAAAGCCUUGUGCGGCUGAGGAUGGGCCCGCGGCCUAUCAGCUUGUUGGUGGGGGUGAGGCCCUACCAAGGCGGACGACGGGUAGCCGGCCUGAGAGGGCGACCGGCCACACUGGGACUGAGACACGGCCCAG
rnacentral:rRNA from 1 species